GUGAAUCAUCGAAUUUUUGAACGCAAAUUGCACUUUCUGGUAUUCCGGAAGGUAUGCCUGUUUGAGGGUCAGUUAAAUAAAAAUCGGUGUUGUUGCUGCCUUUCGUGGUGACGCGUCGGAAUUGGGCCGUCUUACCUUCGGGUAAGUGACCUAAAAUUUUUGCAUGAUUUUCGAACGUAUUUAAAUGGCUUACGUACGUUUGAGAUAUUGAAUGAUUAUUAGGUUCGGUCAUUCUCAUGAUUUGCGCUUAUAAUUUUUCAUUAAAUGACCGUAAAUCAGGUAAGAAUACUAGCU
rnacentral:misc_RNA from 1 species